rnacentral:rRNA from 1 species
AGAUAAGCCUGCAUGUCUAAGUAUAAGCAAUUAUACCGUGAAACUGCGAAUGGCUCAUUAAAUCAGUUAUCGUUUAUUUGAUAGUACCUUACUACUUGGAUAACCGUGGUAAUUCUAGAGCUAAUACAUGCUGAAAACCCCAACUUCGGGAGGGGUGUAUUUAUUAGAUAAAAAACCAACGCCCUUCGGGGCUUCUUGGUGAUUCAUGAUAACUUCACGGAUCGCAUGGCCUUGCGCCGGCGACGGUUCAUUCAAAUUUCUGCCCUAUCAACUUUCGAUGGUAAGGUAUUGGCUUACCAUGGUUUCAACGGGUAACGGGGAAUUAGGGUUCGAUUCCGGAGAGGGAGCCUGAGAAACGGCUACCACAUCCAAGGAAGGCAGCAGGCGCGCAAAUUACCCAAUCCCGACACGGGGAGGUAGUGACAAUAAAUACUGAUACAGGGCUCUUUUGGGUCUUGUAAUUGGAAUGAGUACAAUUUAAACCUCUUAACGAGGAACAAUUGGAGGGCAAGUCUGGUGCCAGCAGCCGCGGUAAUUCCAGCUCCAAUAGCGUAUAUUAAAGUUGUUGCAGUUAAAAAGCUCGUAGUUGAAACUUGGGCCUGGCUGGCAGGUCCGCCUCACCGCGUGUACUUGUCCGGCCGGGCCUUUCCUUCUGGAGAACCUCAUGCCCUUCACUGGGUGUGUUGGGGAACCAGGACUUUUACUUUGAAAAAAUUAGAGUGUUCAAAGCAGGCCUUUGCUCGAAUACGUUAGCAUGGAAUAAUAGAAUAGGACGUGCGGUCCUAUUUUGUUGGUUUCUAGGACCGCCGUAAUGAUUAAUAGGGACAGUCGGGGGCAUCAGUAUUCAAUUGUCAGAGGUGAAAUUCUUGGAUUUAUUGAAGACUAACUACUGCGAAAGCAUUUGCCAAGGAUGUUUUCAUUAAUCAGUGAACGAAAGUUAGGGGAUCGAAGACGAUCAGAUACCGUCGUAGUCUUAACCGUAAACUAUGCCGACUAGGGAUCGGGCGAUGUUCUUUUUCUGACUCGCUCGGCACCUUACGAGAAAUCAAAGUUUUUGGGUCUGGGGGGAGUAUGGUCGCAAGUGAAUAG